GACGAACGCUGGCGGCGUGUUUAACACAUGCAAGUCGAACGGUAAGGCCCUUCGGGGUACACGAGUGGCGAACGGGUGAGUAACACGUGGGUGAUCUGCCCUGCACUUCGGGAUAAGCCUGGGAAACUGGGUCUAAUACCGGAUAGGACCACUGCCUGCAUGGGUGGUGGUGGAAAGCUUUUGCGGUGUGGGAUGGGCCCGCGGCCUAUCAGCUUGUUGGUGGGGUGAUGGCCUACCAAGGCGACGACGGGUAGCCGGCCUGAGAGGGUGACCGGCCACACUGGGAGUGGGAUACGGCCCAUACUCCUACGGGAGGCAGCAGUGCGGAAUAUUGCACAAUGGGCGCAAGCCUGAUGCAGCGACGCCGCGUGAGGGAUGACGGCCUUCGGGUUGUAAACCUCUUUCAGCACCGACGAAGCGCAAGUGACGGUAGGUGCAGAAGAAGGACCGGCCAACUACGUGCCAGCAGCCGCGGUAA
rnacentral:rRNA from 1 species